rnacentral:rRNA from 1 species
AUUGAACGCUGGCGGCAGGCUUAACACAUGCAAGUCGAGCGAGCGGCGGACGGGUGAGUAAUGUCUGGGAAACUGCCUGAUGGAGGGGGAUAACUACUGGAAACGGUAGCUAAUACCGCAUACCAUCAGAUGUGCCCAGAUGGGAUUAGCUAGUAGGUGGGGUAAAGGCUCACCUAGGGGACGAUCCCUAGCUGGUCUGAGAGGAUGACCAGGUACUCUGGAACUGGGACCCGGUCCAGGCUCCUACGGGAGGCAGGAGUGGGAAAUAUUGCACAAUGGGCGCAAGCCUGAUGCAGCCAUGCCGCGUGUAUGAAGACGGCCUUCGGGUUGUAAAGUACUUUCAGCGGGGAGGCGUUGCCCGCAGAGGAAGCACCGGCUAACUCCGUGCCAGCGGCCGCGGUAAUU